UACAGAGGUCCCAAGCGUUGUUCGGAUUCACUGGGCGUAGAGGGCGCGUAGGUGGUGAGGUAAGUCGGAUGUGAAAUCUCCGGGCUCAACCCGGAAAUGGCAUUGGAAACUAGCUUGCUGGAGGAUUUGAGGGGGGAUUGGAAUACUUGGUGUAGCAGUGAAAUGCGUAGAUAUCGUGAGGAACACCAGAGGCGAAGGCGGUUACCUGGACAGUUACUGACGCUCAGGCACGAAAGCAUGGGGAGCAAAAGGG
rnacentral:rRNA from 1 species